UGGGUAGUUGGUCUAGGUGAAUUUUC
rnacentral:piRNA from 1 species